UACUUGACAUCCAGAGAACUUUCCAGAGAUGGAUUGGUGCCUUCGGGAACUCUGAGACAGGUGCUGCAUGGCUGUCGUCAGCUCGUGUUGUGAAAUGUUGGGUUAAGUCCGCAACGAGCGCAACCCCUAUCCUUUGUUGCCAGCGAUUCGGUCGGGAACUCAAAGGAGACUGCCGGUGAUAAACCGGAGGAAGGUGGGGAUGACGUCAAGUCAUCAUGGCCCUUACGAGUAGGGCUACACACGUGCUACAAUGGCGUAUACAAAGAGAAGCGACCUCGCGAGAGCAAGCGGACCUCAUAAAGUACGUCGUAGUCCGGAUUGGAGUCUGCAACUCGACUCCAUGAAGUCGGAAUCGCUAGUAAUCGUAGAUCAGAAUGCUACGGUGAAUACGUUCCCGGGCCUUGUACACACCGCCCGUCACACCAUGGGAGUGGGUUGCAAAAGAAGUAGAUAGCUUAACCUUCGGGAGGGCGUUUACCACUUUGUGAUUCAUGACUGGGGUGAAGUCGUAACAAGGUAAGCGUAGCGAG
rnacentral:rRNA from 1 species